UUUAAUGAGUUUUAUUCUGUUUCUGUUCACUUUAAUGAAGUUCUGAUGAUCUGAAGGUAAAAUGAGUGUUUCUGUCUCUGGAGUCUGGUGGAGAGUGAUAGUGAUAUUACGGCUGUUUGUGGUUAAACUGAAGGUCUAUCUCUGUAGGGAUCCUUUCCAUAAUGCUGUCAGACACUGACAAUAACAACCUGAGUCUGUCAGUGGCUGAAACUACUACUGUUAGUGGAACAAACAACAACUACUGUUAGUGGAACAAACAACGACUACUGUUAGUGGAACAAACAACAACUACUGUUAGUGGAACAAACAACGACUACUGUUAGUGGAACAAACAACAACUACUGUUAGUGGAACAAACAACAACUACUGUUAGUGGAACAAACAACAACUACUGUUAGUGGGACAAACAACAACUACUGUCAGUGGAACAAACAACAACUACUGUUAGUGGAACAAACAACAACUACUGUUAGUGGAACAAACAACAACUACUGUUAGUGGAUGCACUUUAAAGGUCCAUUUGUCCCCAACGAUUAACGUUAGCUUACGUUGCAGCCAUUGUGCGGAUAUUUCCCCUCUAACUCUGUGAAUUAAAGGUUUAUUUCCACCAAACCAGAGUUGGUGAUGGUUGUAAAGACUAACAAAGACAGUUUUGAUGAGUUUUAUUUAGUUUCUGUCCACUUUAAAUUAAGUUACGAUGUUCUGAUGACAUGCGAUGUAAAAUUGCUGUUUUUGUCUCUGGAGUCUGGUGGAGAGCGAUAGCGACGCCGCUCUUCUAUUACUGGUUAAACCAAAGGUUUCUCUCUGUUUGUGUAACCUUGAAGCAGCAAAUAAUAAAAUUCUAGAAACUAGAAAAAGCUUAUAGAUUGGAAACACAUCAAACAUUUCUCUCCUCGUCCUGCACAUAUUUCCAGUUCUGGACUUUUUCACAGCGGAUGUCAUCAUCAUCUAAACUCUCCGUCCUUUGAUGGGCUCAGUCGACUCUCAGCGGAUGUUUUUCAGACUAAAAGCAGCAAAAAAAAAAUGGACUCGGUGAGAUUUAGUCGGGCUUUGUGUGGCUCGAGGAAAAGAGCAGGAAGGAGAGACGGACGUCUUAUAGUAUUAUAGACAAAUCUACCCGGUUCCACUGUGUGGAUCAACCAAGUUUCAUCUGAUCUCUUCUGACAGAGAAACAUCAGACGGACGGUUAUCGUCAGACGUCCAUCACAUCCCGGAGGUCGAAUUAUUCCCGUAAAGUCUUUAACGACGCUGCCGGAGGUCGAUCGUCGUUAGGAGACGGAGAGAAGAUAUAAAAUCAUUCAACCUAUUGAAGAUUUAACAUCAAUUAAAAGGUUGUUUGUUCGUAUAUUGAAGGAGUUUAGUCAUAAAAUAAAUAAUAAUUAAAUAAACACACAUAAGUCGACCUCUGGCGUUGCUCGCCAUCACUCGGGGCUCGGUGCUGUAUUUGCUGUGACCUUUGACCUCUCUGCUGCUGCUUGUUGACUGAUCGCGGACGUGAAGGUGACUCUGCUGAUAUUAAAGCUCCCGAGCGGACUGAAAUCUCUCGUUUUUCAUCCGUUCAGACAGACGAGAGGAGGAGGAGGAGGAGGAGGAGGAGGAGGAGGAAGUGAUCGGACGGACGCCGCCACUUCCUCCUGGAGGAUGAAGGAGGUGGGUG